GAUCAUGAGUCCAAAAUUAAAGAUCCAAAGAAGCCCCAUUAGAUAGCAUUUUUUUUUAAAAUAACAAAGCAAGUGUCCAGGGCCCACAAAGUGGGCAUGAUAAGCUAUGUGAUACUCCAAUACACACGUCAGCCCGGGCAAAGGACCACGGAUGUAUCACCCUUGGCAGUUAGACUCCCUGACUAACAGGUUAUCUCUAUGCAUUUCAUUACUUGAAUAUUGAUGAUAAUGUUGCAACUUCCUUAUCAAGUGUUAAUUAUCUGUAAGAUACACAUUAUCUAUAAGUUAUAAUUAUCUACAAGUUGAUAAUUUUCUAUAAGGGUUGUUACAUCACUAUAAUAGUCUCUACAAACAAGGACUCAAAGCUCCUACUCCACUCUAUAAGUAUCAGGUUCUAUCUCACCUUUUUCAUCUCUCAUUCUCACUUAAUUCACGUACUUACUUAAGCAUCGAAAAGUCCUUUGUAUGACUGGUUCCCCUUCUUGUCCUCCUAACAAAGGAUACUCAUAGUCCUACAUGUGAGAUCAUGGAGCCCACCUUGACCAUGUCCACCCUGAUGUUGGCCGGCUCCAUAUUUUGUAGGAUUCAAAAGAAGAAAAUUUCAAGUGCUUCGGAAGAAAAUUGAUGCAAAAACUUGAAGAAAAAAGUUGAAAAUUGAGACAGUUUGUUUAACGCACAAGACAAACUCACCACGUCUCCUCGCUUAGCGGUCAGCUCACGCUUAGUACAAAGAAAGCCCACGAGAAAGUCCAAAGGCAUGCUUAGCGCGUGAUCACUACCAUACUUACUAAGCUCAGAAGGCCCGCUUAGUACAAGGUCGCGUGAAUUUUAAGCUACUUUAGGCCUAUAAAAAGAGUAGGAAGCAAAGAAAAAAAAACAGAUUGAGACUCAAAGCUCUCUAAUGAAUACAUCUUAAGUAUGAGUAUCUCAAAUUGGGGAAAACUCUCUUUCUAUGCCCAUUAUCCCUUUCUCUUCUUUUAUCCAUUCCUUUCCUUCUUUUAUCCACAUUAGUCCCUAAAGUGUAAAGCUUCUCAUGACAAUGAAAGGCUAAACCCCAUUAUUUGGAA